ACCAGGAUGGCCGAGUGGUUAAGGCGUUGGACUUAAGCUCCAAUGGACAGAUGUCCUUGUGGGUUUGAUCCCCACUCCUGCGG
rnacentral:tRNA from 1 species